rnacentral:rRNA from 1 species
ACUUUUAACAACCGGAUCUCUUGGCUCUUGCAUCGAUGAAGAACGCAGCGAAAUGCGAUAAGUAAUGUGAAUUGCAGAAUCCAGUGAAUCAUCGAAUCUUUGAACGGCACCUUGCGGUUCCUUGGUAUUCCGGGAAGCAUGCCUGUUUAAGUGGUCAUUA